rnacentral:tRNA from 1 species
UCCAGGGUAGCCUAGUGGACAUGGCAUCUGCCCGGUAAGCGGGACACUGGGUUCUUUUCCCAUCCCUGGAC